UUUCCUGCCAAUUGCCGAAUCUGCCAGCUUGAUGAUACAUGGGAGCCGCAGCCUGCUGAUUGUCAGUAGGAACACAAUCACACACAACACCAGCUUUCACAGGCAUAUGGCACAGAGGGGCCGAGAAAUAGAAUUGCAACCAUAGGACUCCAUAGCGAUACAGCACGGCGCAGCGGAUUGCGUACGUGCAAUCUUGGGCAUAGAAAUUGGCAAGUCGCCAAUAUGACCACAGGUAUAAGAGAAAUGUCUGUUGCUUGCCGGUGCCUAGUUGAGAUCAACAGGUACAUGAAGACAUCAGAGAAGCAAACUAUCACAACCAGUUCAUUCCAUGCAAGAGGCUUGAAUGCACCUCUCGUACUGAAGAACAAAUGGUAAUCCAGUCUGUUGCUGCGGCUGCUGCACAUCCUGAAGUAAAUUUACAAACAAAUAUUGCAUGGUUAAAUAAAAAAACCGAAACAGUAUAUGUAAGAAAUAAUAUCAUGCAAAAUAUAGACAUCUUACACUAUGAAAUUAAUGUUAAAAAUGAGGCUAUCCGGUUUUGAAUCAUCUAUAGCUCUUAAUCCAUCAUCAACCAAGCUCAACAUCCCUCCGAACCAAAAUAGUGCAGCCACGUGUUUGAGAAAAAAAAAAAACACUGCAGCCCAUCCCUUCGUUUCUCGUCAUAUGCCACUUACACAGUAAGAAAUUACUCAGCUAUAGUCUAUAUGUGGACUUGAAGUUGUUGAAUGGGUAUAGCACAGGCCGGAUAAACCCCGCGCCAGGGGGGGGGGGGUGAUUUGAUGGUCGGUGUGGAACAUAUGCACUUGCCAUCUACUGAUUUACUUUGCACCAUUCAGUAGUUUCCUGGGGGGAUUUAGUGAAUUGUCUCAUGUGUGCAAGGUUGCUACUACUUGUUUGAACUAGGAAACAAGUCUAUUCUGAACUCUUGUGCUUGCUCCAUCUUGAACUCUAUCCUAUGAAAACCGUUUGUGUUAAUCCUAGAACUUUUAAGAAACAUUAAAAAUGAACCGAAACCAGUUUUGAAAAGUUUAUACAAUGAAAAUCACUAAUAUUUUGGGUAUCUCAUGCUGCUCCCGUCUGCAUACGUGCAUCGUUACUUUAGCUGCCUUUUGGGUAGUUUGUCGCUCCAGUUAGUUACCUCUAGCUUUGUAAGCAAAAAGAGAUGUGGUUUCUGAUAUAUGAUAAUCGGAGAGAGCGCUCUCUUUUUCAGAAAAAAAGAACCUGUUCGGGUUCAACUUUCGCAGGGUUCCCACAUUGUAGCAUCCCCCCUGUUUAUGUUUUUUUUAAACUUAUACUGAAUUUUUCGAAGAUGUAAAACCACCCUAAAUACACAAGUUAAGGUUUGGAAGAUAUUUUUGCAUUUGAGGUUGUAAAAAAAUCUGGAGCAAUUUGUGGGUGAUGCUAUAAAGUAAGCCAAAAAUAAAUCCAUCAGCCAACAUGAUCAUUUCUGUUCUAUGCACAAAGUGCAAAAGAGGAAUGCAUUUCUGAUGCAAUUUUGUAACAUGGCAUAGAUGGGCAUACUUUCCGAAUAACUUUUGCAGGUUGUCAUUUCAUUGUACUCCCUACAUCCAUGUUCCUUUUUCACGUUUUUUGAAAUGCCCAAAAUUCAAAAUCACGUUCCAAUACCGGUCUAGCGUUCAUUUCAAACGGCUUUCUGAAAGUUUAAUUUAGAUUUAAUACGAUCAAUUACAUAGUUUGGAGUUCUAGUCAGACCAGAUUACAUCUUCUUGUCAUACCCGCUGGUGAAUUUUAUCUGGGCUGUGGUGAGAGAUGUUUUUUUGGUUGGAACAGAGUUCACUCAGGCUUCGUGGUUGGUUCGAUCGAGUAGAAUCAGCAAGCUCGCCAUCUUUGGUUUAGAGGCUUUGGUUGGUUAGAAAUGACAUGAUCUUUGGAAACAAGUUCAUGGGGGCUGCCUCUUCGGAAACAAGUAGUGAGCUGUCCGAAAUCGACUCUUCUUUGCAACGCUGGAGCAAGCAAGCGAAGGGGGCAACAAAGAGGUCAUGGAGGCUUCCAGGCUCCGACCACUCCGGCAAUCUCACUAGCGGUCGUGAGAUGGCUGUAAAGAUCUUUUCUCAGGCCUGAUCUACUUGAUUGAGAUGCUAACUGUGCUUUCACUGUUUAGUUUCUGCUUAUAUGUCCCAGUUUUUUUAUCCUUGUGUACGACUCUGAUUGGGCUUUCUUAUUGAAAAACUCUUCGCUUAAAGGUUUGACAAACUGACUCUGAUGUUUCAUCAUCAUCAGACAUCAGUUGCUGAGAAAACUUUCAACCAAGGACGAUUAGUUUCAGCAUUAGCAUGGUGAUAUGUUUCAACCAAGGAUGAGACCAGAACAUUUGUUUGCAUUUUACUAACAGAGAUAUACUAGUACUAUUUAUUAUGACCAUCAUUUUUUGGUGUUACUAGUUAAAUGCCCGUGCAUUAACAUAGAUAAACCAUCCUUAAAUCUAUGUGGUCAUAUUCGUUCGACCGCAUAACUCUCUUCUUCCUAAAUUAAUAGAAAUAGAAAGUCUUUUGCCUUGUUUAAGAUAAAAUGGCGCUAUGUUUAAGUUGUGCCUCAACUACAAUCAUCAUUAUGUUCCUCAUUUUGGCUUGCUUGAAGUCCCUCCGUCCCCAAAUUGAAUAAACAGUUUAAUACAUAAUGAAAAUAUAUCUAAUGGUCGAUAUAUUGAUAUUGAUUUGGUAUUGUUUAUCUUCAUAUUUUUUAUAUAUAUGCUUGGUCAAACUUAGAAAACAUUGACUUUUUAACUCAAUUUAUACACCAUCUAUUUAGGAAGGGAGUACCAAAUUAUCAACUAGAGUGCUAAUGUUUUAUGAGUGCAGCGUUUUGGCGCUCGGGCUACAGGUAGCCCGAUAUCAGAACUGCCCAUUCGUCCUUUACGAUCUGCGCCAGGGCAAGGACUGGAAAAAAGGUGCCACUAGCAAGGGAAGGUAAUCCAGACAGUGUUUGUGCCCGAGUCCUCCAUCCAUGCCUAUGCAGAUAAGAUAGAGGUUAUUGUGAACCCUGCUAUUUGGUACGUCAUUUGAAUCCCUCCCGGAAGCAUACAAUUUCUGCAACUUAUACUCUUGGGAGAUCGGAUUUGGGAUAAGACAUGCAAACAGAUGGCUUAGUGUGCAGAGAAAGAAGGGCAUGCAGGAGAUUGAUUGCGGCUGUGCUGUUAGUGAUGAAUUAGCUUCUGCUUGAUGAGUUUAUUCCAGAGAGAAUUAUCUGGCUAGGCAUGUCAGUUGUGUGACAAGAGAGAAAUGGUGCAGAGUUGAAUCCCAUGUGGAGUUUGGUGCUGAAGAAGAUGAGUUCAUUUUGUGAGUGUGGUGAUUUUGAACACUCCGGUUUGUUGUGCAGCUACACUACACAAGAAGAUAUUGCUAAUGCUUCAUUGUGCUUAUGAUACUUGUUUGGUUAAGCAUGAGAAAAGCCGGUAGACCAACAACAAGCCACGAAAAAACUUCCUUGUGAGCUGCCAAUUAGGCAAGCCGUUUUUGUUCAGUUUGCCAUGUGCGGCGAGGUGAUACUAUCCCCCAUGAAACUGAGGAAGGCUCCACGUUUUGGUUUGACAGGGCACAGGAACAAUAACUUUGGGCAAACCCAUGACGACGCCUUGAAAAUAUCAGACCGCCGUUGCUGGUGAUUGAAAACUGUGUCUGUAAUGUAUACUACGUAGUUUCUAGCUGCAACCGUUUGUUCUUAGUCAAUCUACCUCUGUUUGUGUUGUACUCCGUCCGUCCUAAAAUUAGUGUCUUUAAUUUAGUACAAAGUUUUACCGAGACAGAAUGAGUAGAAUUUAUACUUUACUGUGGAACCAUGUUCAUCUCCUUUGCUAAUGAUGAUCUGCGUUGUUCAGUCAAA